GAUGAACGCUGGCGGCGUGCCUAAUACAUGCAAGUCGAGCGAACGGACGAGAAGCUUGCUUCUCUGAUGUUAGCGGCGGACGGGUGAGUAACACGUGGAUAACCUACCUAUAAGACUGGGAUAACUUCGGGAAACCGGAGCUAAUACCGGAUAAUAUUUUGAACCGCAUGGUUCAAAAGUGAAAGACGGUCUUGCUGUCACUUAUAGAUGGAUCCGCGCUGCAUUAGCUAGUUGGUAAGGUAACGGCUUACCAAGGCAACGAUGCAUAGCCGACCUGAGAGGGUGAUCGGCCACACUGGAACUGAGACACGGUCCAGACUCCUACGGGCGGCAGCAGUAGGGAAUCCUCCGCAAUGGGCGAAAGCCUGACGGAGCCACGCCGCGUGCGUGCUGAAGGUCUUCGGAUCGUAAACCUCUGUUAUUAGGGAAGAACAUAUGUGUAAGUAACUGUGCACAUCUUGACGGUACCUAAUCAGAAAGCCACGGCUAACUACGUG
rnacentral:rRNA from 1 species